GGCGGUUCUGCAAGUUGGGCGUGAAACCCCCGGGCCCAACCCGGGGCAAGCCGUUCAAUACUGCAGGACUUGAGGGCAGCAGAGGGAGGUGGAAUCCCGGUGUAGCGGUGAAAUGCGUAGAUAUCGGGAGGAACACCAGUGGCGAAGGCGGCCUCCUGGGCUGUUCCUGACGCUGAAUGCGAAAGCUAGGGUAGCGAACGGGAUUAGAAACCCCGGUAGUCCUAGCUGUAAACGAUGGAUGCUAGAUGUAGGGGGUGUAGAUUCCCUCUGUGUCGUAGCUAACGCGUUAAGCAUCCCGCCUGGGGACUACGGCCGCAAGGCUAAAACUCAAACGAAUUGACGGGGGCCCGCACAAGCAGCGGAGCGUGUGGUUUAAUUCGAUGCUACACGAAGAACCUUACCUGGGCUUGACAUGUAGGUAGUAGCGAAGCGAAAGCGGAGCGACCCUUCGGGGAGCCUACACAGGUGCUGCAUGGCUGUCGUCAGCUUCGUGCCGUGAGGUGUCGGGUUAAGUCCCGUAACGAGCGCAACCCCUGCUCUUAGUUAUACGUGUCUAAGAGGACUGCCGGCGGCAAGCCGGAGGAAGGUGGGGAUGACGUCAAGUCAGCAUGGCCUUUAUGUCCAGGGCUACACACACGCUACAAUGGCCGAUACAAUGGGUUGCGAAACCGCGAGGUGGAGCCAAUCCUCCAAAGUCGGUCUCAGUUCGGAUUGCAGGCUGCAACUCGCCUGCAUGAAGUCGGAGU
rnacentral:rRNA from 1 species